UACGAAGGGGGCUAGCGUUGUUCGGAAUCACUGGGCGUAAAGGGCGCGUAGGCGGCUUUGUAAGUCGGGGGUGAAAGCCUGUGGCUCAACCACAGAAUUGCCUUCGAUACUGCAUGGCUUGAGACCGGAAGAGGUAAGUGGAACUGCGAGUGUAGAGGUGAAAGUUCGUAGAUAUUCGCAAGAACACCAGUGGCGAAGGCGGCUUACUGGUCCGGUUCUGACGCUGAGGCGCGAAAGCGUGGGGAGCAAACAGGG
rnacentral:rRNA from 1 species